rnacentral:rRNA from 1 species
AUUGAACGCUGGCGGCAGGCCUAACACAUGCAAGUCGAACGGUAACAGGAAGCAGCUUGCUGCUUCGCUGACGAGUGGCGGACGGGUGAGUAAUGUCUGGGAAGCUGCCUGAUGGAGGGGGAUAACUACUGGAAACGGUAGCUAAUACCGCAUAAUGUCGCAAGACCAAAGAGGGGGACCUUCGGGCCUCUUGCCAUCGGAUGUGCCCAGAUGGGAUUAGCUUGUUGGUGGGGUAACGGCUCACCAAGGCGACGAUCCCUAGCUGGUCUGAGAGGAUGACCAGCCACACUGGGACUGAGACACGGUCCAGACUCCUACGGGAGGCAGCAGUGGGGAAUAUUGCACAAUGGGCGCAAGCCGGAUGCAGCCAUGCCGCGUGUAUGAAGAAGGCCUUCGGGUUGUAAAGUACUUUCAGCGGGGAGGAAGGGAGUAAAGUUAAUACCUUUGCUCAUUGACGUUACCCGCAGAAGAAGCACCGGCUAACUCCGUG